UCAAUCUACGCCGGCUUUGAUCAAGCUGCCGAUAGUCUAACGUUGGCAAUCUCCUGGUAAUAAUUGGACUUCUGCAUGGCAUCGAGAAAGACACAAUCCAAUUGCGUUAGUUGGAAUACGGGUCUUAUCGGUAAUCCUAGUGGCAAAACAAAACGAAAUAAACUAGGGUUGUCGGUCAUUUAGACAAAUUAGAGUCGUCAACAAUGCAUCAUGGUAAGAAAAUCUGAAUGUAGAGGACUUUGUUGCCAAUAUGGGAAAACACUUUCGAAUGGGAUUACUGCUCUCAAUAUCGUCAGUCCAGUCGUGACUUAAUAGUGCAGCUAGAAUGAGCUUUACCGAAUUCACAUAACAAAUUUUCCAGGGUUAUGACUUGUUGCAUUUGCUUCAGAAAUACAAUUGUCGCUUUCAAAUGGGAGGCAGUGAACAAAUGGGUAACUUAAUGACUGGCCACGAACUAUCAGCAGAGUAGAAAAAAAGAAAUCAGUAUUUGGAUUGGCACUUCCAAUAGUGAUCAACGAAGGAGAAGACAAGUUCGGAAAAUCUGCUGGCAAUGGUAUUUGGCUGGACGAAGAAAAAAGUCGCCAUUUGUUCUUUAUCAGUUCUUUUUGAAAAUGCCAGAUUCUGAAGUCGAGAAGCUUCUCAUGUUGUUCACUUUUAUCCCACAAAGAAGAAAUUGCAUUUCUCAUUGAAGAACACAAAAAAUUACCAGAGAAGAGAAAAGCACAAAGAAGAUGUGACGCUUCAAGUCUAUGGAGAGGUAUGUCUAAAACAAGACGAAAAAGUCACAGCGGCGCUCUAUAAGGGAAAUGUUGAAGGACUAGGUGAACUGAAUUACAACGAAAUCCCAUCGUUGAGAUUUUUUCGGAGCCUGAACUAUCCAUUCUUGAUCUGGCACUAAAAGCUAAAUGUUUUACAACUGAAACUGAUGCGAUCAGAAUCAUCACAACUGGAGGGUUCUAUAUCAAUCAAAAGUAAAUGUAGUUUAUGUGUUCCGUUCCCAUUUUCAUAUGUUUUGUAUUUUAUUUAUUUAUUACAUCAAUUAGAGUUAAGAGUAUACUCAAAUAGACUAAUGAAUAUGACAAGUUU